rnacentral:rRNA from 1 species
CCUACGGGAGGCAGCAGUGGGGAAUAUUGCACAAUGGGCGAAAGCCUGAUGCAGCGACGCCGCGUGAGGGAUGACGGCCUUCGGGUUGUAAACCUCUUUCAGCAGGGAAGAAGCGAAAGUGACGGUACCUGCAGAAGAAGCGCCGGCUAACUACGUGCCAGCAGCCGCGGUAAUACGUAGGGCGCAAGCGUUGUCCGGAAUUAUUGGGCGUAAAGAGCUCGUAGGCGGCUUGUCACGUCGGGUGUGAAAGCCCGGGGCUUAACCCCGGGUCUGCAUUCGAUACGGGCUAGCUAGAGUGUGGUAGGGGAGAUCGGAAUUCCUGGUGUAGCGGUGAAAUGCGCAGAUAUCAGGAGGAACACCGGUGGCGAAGGCGGAUCUCUGGGCCAUUACUGACGCUGAGGAGCGAAAGCGUGGGGAGCGAACAGGAUUAGAUACCCUGGUAGUCCACGCCGUAAACGGUGGGAACUAGGUGUUGGCGACAUUCCACGUCGUCGGUGCUGCAGCUAACGCAUUAAGUUCCCCGCCUGGGGAGUACGGCCGCAAGGCUAAAACUUAAGGAAUUGACGG